AUUGAACGCUGGCGGCAUGCCUUACACAUGCAAGUCGAACGGUAACAGGUCUUCGGAUGCUGACGAGUGGCGAACGGGCGAGUAAUACAUCGGAACGUGCCUAGUAGCGGGGGAUAACUAAUCGAAAGAGUGGCUAAUACCGCAUGAGGUCUACGGAUGAAAGCAGGGGAUCGCAAGACCUUGUGCUACUAGAGCGGCCGAUGGCAGAUUAGGUAGUUGGUGGGAUAAAAGCUUACCAAGCCGACGAUCUGCAGUUGGUCUGAGAGGACGAUCAGCCACACUGGGACUGAGACACGGCCCAGACUCCUACGGGAGGCAGCAGUGGUGAAUUUUGGACAAUGGGCGCAAGCCUGAUCCAGCAAUGCCGCGUGCAGGAUGAAGGCCUUCGGGUUGUAAACUGCUUUUGUACGGAACGAAAAGCCCUGGGUUAAUACCCUGGGGUCAUGACGGUACCGUAAGAAUAAGCACCGGCUAACUACGUGCCAGCCGCCGCCGUAAUAC
rnacentral:rRNA from 1 species